ensembl:lncRNA
GCCACCAACCGCAUUGUUUAUAUUUGUAGUUUUUGAAGUAUGGAGCACCACAAAAACUACAAAUAAAAAAAAAAACAAUCCAGCUAACCCAUUUUGUGCUCUCUACUAUCAGAACCUACCAAAAUGUAUCUCAGCCCAGCCCGACGGGCCGAUGGGCUGGGCUGAGAUGGAUUUUGGUAGCCCGAUUGGAGAAAUCGCUAGCCCCGGGACGUCGGGCUAGCGAUUUUGCGAGCCCUGGUCAACCCCUCACUUGAAUUUUUGAAUUUCAGUUUAAGGCAAUUAAAUUCAAUCCAAAAAUUCAAUCCCAACAAUCAAGUGAUCCCCUAUGAGCAACAGUGGACAGGAAAAACUCCCUUUUAACAGGAAGAAACCUGUGACAGAACCAGGCUCAGGGAGGGGCAGUCUUCUGUCAUGACUGGUUGGGAGGUGAGGGCAAAAUAAAAUUGGACAUAAAGGAGAGCACAGAUUGUGGACCGUGGCUGGAAAAGAUUAUUACUGUUUUCAAAAGGCACCCGGUCCACAUCCACAACUACAGUAGGGCUGGAAUGGAUAAUAAGGAUAAUCCCACAGAGGACGGACAUUCACUUCAGCAGAAAAUAGUUACGAUGGCCCGAGCUAGAGGAAGAACAACUUCUGGUGUGACAAGACAUUCACCUACUAGAAGUGCGAGUUUGACACCAGCACGCCACCAACCACUAGUCUGAGACUCGUCAGUAGGUGGUUUUGUGACAGGAGUAUUUCGUUCAUUCAACUUCCUUUCAAGGUUGUUGAUCCUAGUAAUAUUCAUUCUAUUUUGCUCCUGGAGAAGCUCUGCACGCUGAGCUAAUCUCUCAUUCUCUCUUUGCAACUGCUGCAGAGGCUCAAAGCUACUAGUCUCAAGAUCAUGUAUAGUUUUCCUGAGAGUCCUGUUCUCUUUCUGUAAUUGACGGGACUUAGUUGUAGCCUUGGCCAGAUCCACAGCGAGAAACGCUAUCUGUCGCGUAAAAUGUAAUUCCUUUGUAUUAUCUCUGUCCUUCGGUGAAUUAUUUAAUGUUUCCUCCGACAUUUCUUUAAUAGUAUAAAAGCACAGUGUCAAAAGAAAAAAACUUUGUAUGAAUUGUAUGAAAGUAUUAUCUUUGUCAAAGACAACUCGCUUUGCAAAAACAACUCGCUGUUUCUGAAGACGUACCAAACUGUGUUAUAGCACCUCUAUUUAUGGACUCCUGUGGCAGAGAUGGUGACGUCGAAACUGUGACGGUGACAUCACGUCACACUCUCCUUUGAGAAGAUCAAAGAAGCGCUCCGUAUC